rnacentral:lncRNA from 1 species
AGGACGGCUGAAAAGUAAUUUUAAAUAAAAUAUACUAUUUAAGUGAAAUUAUUUCAAAUUCUAAGGGUGGUCACAGUUAAUUUACAAAAAUAAUCCACCCACUUGAACGGUUACCAUUAUUUUUAAAUUAUUUUUUUAGUACAAAUAUUGUAUACCAUUGAUUAGAUCUAAUGGUUCACAAUUAAUACAUUAUUGAUGCUGUAAAAAAAUUUACAGCAUCAUAGAGGAACCCAUUUAAUAAACAUCAACUGUUAUAUUUUAAAAAGGGAAAUUUUUAGUCUACCCUCAAAUAAAUUGACAUUUUACACCGCGUACCCAAUAAAAUUGACUCGUUGCAUCGUACCCCUAAUUCCGUUAAUUUUUUAGUUAUUUUAAACAGCUCCGACUGAUUUUUUAUCUAAUGACAAAAAUACCCCUUUAAGUUUGAUUACACAAAAACACCCCUUCUUCUCCAUUUCUAACGAGCUUAGCUAUCUUUUUUUUUUUUCUAAGCAAAGGAUUUUAUUUUAAUUGCAAAAAAAAAAAAAUUCCUGUUAUAUGUACAUUGUCACCAUUUUAUUUUUCCUCAAAAAAAUAUUAUCAAGUUAUAUAAAAUACACAGCCGCCAAAAAAAAUUUAACAAACGAAUACAAAGAAAUCUAAAGAUAAAGAAUAAUUAAUAAAAAAAUAAACAAAUUAAAAAGACCACAACACAUUCAAUGAUUACAAUUAAAUUCAGUCCCUUCCACAACCAUUUUCAUCACCACUGAUUCCUUAUCCGCCACCAUAUUCUUCAACCCAAUCAGAAAAAUUACCCAUGAAUCAUUAAUUAACACAUUUGAUUUUGAUUACUUGAUUUAGGGUUUCAAAAUACAAGCCCCUAAAUCAUAAUUCAAAACAACCCAAAUAAUAACUAAUGAAACCCCAAAAUCCAUAAUACUAAGCCUAAAAGGAACUAAGCAGUGGCGGCCAAAGGAAGCAGCUGACGCUCCAGAGUGGCAAUCGCGGUGGCAAUCGUGGUGGUUGAUGUUUUAUAAUUGGUAGAAUGAUGAUUUAGAAGAAAUAGAGCAAAAGAAGAAAAGAAAAUGGAGAAGAAGAAGAAGAGAAGUAAUGGAGAAGAAAAAGGAGAAGAAACAGUGAAGAAGAUGAAGAAAAAGAAAUGGAGAAGAAGAAGGAGAUAAGUAAUGGAGAAGAAAAAUGAAAAGAAACAGAGAAGAAGAUGACGAAAAAGAAAUGGAGAAGAAGAAGGAGAAAAAACAAAGAAGAAGAAGAAAAAGAAAUGGAGAAGACGGAGAAGAAAUAAAAAGAAAGAGGAAAGAAAAAGGAAAGGACUAAAUAAGGAGAAGCCAAAAAUAAAAAGAGUUUCUACUAAAAUUGAUUUAAGGCUU